UUUUUCAAUUUGACCUGCAAAACACAAAAAAUCAAAAGAAAAACUAUUACGGUUAAAUAAAACCUUGGGUUGCCUCCCAAGCAGCGCUACUUUUAGCGUCAUUAGCUUGACGGUCUUGAAACCUCAAGGGUCUUCGAAAAGCACUGCCACCUUGUGGCGAUUAAAAUCUCCUCCCUUAUAAAACUUAAGUCUUUGUCCAUUUACUUUGAAAGAUUUCUCCUCCUCUCCUGGUGUAAAAAUUUCUACAGCCCCGUGUGGAAAAACUUCCUUAAUGACAAAUGGACCAGACCACCG
rnacentral:lncRNA from 1 species